GCCAGCGUAGCUCAGCCUGGUAGAGCGUUCGCCUCGUAAGCGAAAGGUCGCGAGAUCGAUGCUCGCCGCUGGCU
rnacentral:tRNA from 1 species